ensembl:lncRNA
CAACCAGACUGACUUUAAAUAGUUCAUCAUGUUCAACACAUGUAACUUUAUCAAUAUGUGUGAAUCUUUAACUGAUGUUCAUUAAAUACACUUGUUUUCUAUUUUCUUAAGACACCGGGAACAGAGAGAGGACUGUAGCACAAAGACUGGAAAUGAGGGAACUUGUUAGAAUAGCUCCAUCAAAGUCCUGCUUCCUGUCCAACUGUACUCCCACAGUAUUGGCAGAACAUAAAUAAGUGUUAACAUAUUAUUCCAAGAUGCCUUAUUAAAUGUCCUAAUAGAAAUGAAGUCUACAUUACCUUCUUUAUUGUUGUUUGUUAUAAAAACAGUGUAUACAUUAUUUUGAAUGAACUGAGCGUAUGAAUGUAUUUGUUUCAGAUGUGAUAGUAGGUCUCUGAAGGGCGUAACCAUGGUUCACACAUUGUUACAUAAACACAAUCCUCUGUGAAAUUGCCGAAAAAACAGAUUUGUGAUUGAUGUUUUACGACAGUUCUCGUUCUAACAUGUCAAAUCGCAACAACGUGGUCCUCAGACAAGUCACUUCAGCAUUUAAGUACCUCUUCUUCUAAUUUUACAUCACUGCUUCUACAGAUGUUCAAAUUAUUACCAAACCACAUGAAAAUCAUUUAUUAUUUGAUUUAACAGUCUCCCCUGGUUGCAGACUUUGUGCUAAGCUAACAGUCUCCCCUGGUUGCAGCUUUAGCGCUAAGCUAACAGUCUACCCUGCUUGCAGUCUUUGUGCUGAGCUAAAAGUCUCCCCUGCUUGCAGCCUUUGUGCUAAGCUAACAGUUUCUGCUCGUUGCAGCCUUUCCUUUGUGCUAACAGUCUCCCCUCGUUGCAGCCUUUGUGCUAAGCUAACAGUUUGAGCUAAUAGAGAACAAUACAAUUAAAGAGUUGUCCGGCUGUUUCUCUUAGUUUUCUGUCUUUAUAAAGUGCCAUCGUUUGAUUUGAUGUUUGACUAAUGAUCAUGUGAUGAAGAGGAGGAGGAUACUGUUAGCCCUCAAC